rnacentral:rRNA from 1 species
AUUGAACGCUGGCGGCAGGCCUAACACAUGCAAGUCGAGCGGAUGAAGGGAGCUUGCUCCUGGAUUCAGCGGCGGACGGGUGAGUAAUGCCUAGGAAUCUGCCUGGUAGUGGGGGAUAACGUCCGGAAACGGGCGCUAAUACCGCAUACGUCCUGAGGGAGAAAGUGGGGGAUCUUCGGACCUCACGCUAUCAGAUGAGCCUAGGUCGGAUUAGCUAGUUGGUGGGGUAAAGGCCUACCAAGGCGACGAUCCGUAACUGGUCUGAGAGGAUGAUCAGUCACACGGGAACUGAGACACGGUCCAGACUCCUACGGGAGGCAGCAGUGGGGAAUAUUGGACAAUGGGCGAAAGCCUGAUCCAGCCAGGCCGCGUGUGUGAAGAAGGUCUUCGGAUUGUAAAGCACUUUAAGUGGGGAGGAAGGGCAGUAAGUUAAUACCUUGCUGUUUUGACGUUACCAACAGAAUAAGCACCGGCUAACUUCGUG